AAGUCGUAACAAGGUAACCGUAGGUGAACCUGCGGUUGGAUCAUUACCAAAUAUCCAAUGGGAAGGAGCGUCCCUAGUCCAGUUUAACGACUCUACUAGGCCAACGUCUCCUUUUCCAUUUCCCCACCUUUUGUGCAAUGUAAUGUAUUUGGCGGGCCAUGAUCGGCUCAGGUACUAGGCUUCGGUCUAGCUUCCCGAGUCGAGAAUGCUUGUGAAGGCUGGCCCUAUUGAAAGGACCCCCCUCAACCGUCAUGUUAACACACCUAAUAUUAUCUAUACCAACAAUCUGACGUUUAUAUGCUAGGAUGCGCGUUUGCGUAACCUGGAACAUAACCGAAAACAACUUUUGACAACGGAUCUCUUGGCUCUC
rnacentral:misc_RNA from 1 species